rfam:Triticum aestivum genome assembly, contig: Triticum_aestivum_CS42_TGACv1_scaffold_608093_7DL
UUUCUACUCCCUCCGUCCGAAAAGACUUGUCAUCAAAAUGGAUAAAAAGAGAUGUAUCUAAAACUAAAAUACGUCUAGAUACAUUUCCUUUUAUCCAUUUUGAUGAUGAGUAUUUCUGGACGGAGGGAGUAUUUG